AUUGAACGCUGGCGGCAUGCUUUACACAUGCAAGUCGAACGGUAACAGGCCGCAAGGUGCUGACGAGUGGCGAACGGGUGAGUAAUGCAUCGGAACGUGCCCAGUCGUGGGGGAUAACUACUCGAAAGAGUAGCUAAUACCGCAUACGAUCUAUGGAUGAAAGCGGGGGACCGUAAGGCAUCGCGCGAUUGGAGCGGGCGAUGUCAGAUUAGGUAGUUGGUGGGGUAAAGGCUCACCAAGCCAACGAUCUGUAGCUGGUCUGAGAGGACGACCAGCCACACUGGGACUGAGACACGGCCCAGACGCCUACGGGAGGCAGCAGUGGGGAAUUUUGGACAAUGGGCGCAAGCCUGAUCCAGCAAUGCCGCGUGCAGGAAGAAGGCCUUCGGGUUGUAAACUGCUUUUGUACGGAACGAAACGGCUCUGGUUAAUACCCGGGGCUAAUGACGGUACCGGAAGAAUAAGCACCGGCUAACUACGUG
rnacentral:rRNA from 1 species